UGAGCCGAGCACCUUAUUUUGUGAUAAUAUAAGCACGCUAAGUAGCAUGACAUGUGACAUGUGUUUGUUGUUAUCAACGCUGCUACGACUAAGUCAACAUGUAAGAUAUGAUCCACAUAUAUUUACAUGCAUUGGUGGACAAUUGUGUGUACUAACUAGAGGCAUGUAUGGGCAUGUCCACAGCUAAAAACUUAUGAAGUUGAAGCUAAAGAAAACAUCUGCUUCACACUGUUAGCUAACGUUAGCUUGUAGCGCGAGGCGAUAGUUAGCUUGAGUUCACCUCAGUUCACAGCAUGACAUAAAGAGCACGAGGAAGCUAAUGGCUAACAUGAACAACCAAACAGUCUACGGCGCCGUCUGGGAUUUUUUUUUAUCCUCAAAUCGCAUAGGCACGUGCCCUGGUGAUGUCGUGAUUUAAAAAAAAAUGAAACAAGGAUUCCAAAGAGGAGAAGACCAAUAGUGAAUUCAAGAAAGAAGUCAUCUCAAAGUUCAAAGACGUCGUCCAUGUUGCCGAUCUCGCGUGUGGAAAGCCUUCAACAACAAUAAGUACCAUCCUGAAGAAUAACAACGUA